rnacentral:rRNA from 1 species
ACUCAAAGGAAUUGACGGGGGCCCGCACAAGCGGUGGAGCAUGUGGUUUAAUUCGACGCAACGCGAAGAACCUUACCCAGGCUCGAAAUGCAGGGGAUCGACGGUGAAAGCCGUUUUCCGCAAGGACUCCUGUAUAGGUGCUGCAUGGCUGUCGUCAGCUCGUGUCGUGAGAUGUUGGGUUAAGUCCCGCAACGAGCGCAACCCUUGUCUACUGUUGCCAUCAGGUUAAGCUGGGCACUCUGUAGAGACUGCCGGUGAUAAACCGGAGGAAGGUGGGGAUGACGUCAAGUCAGCAUGGCCUUUAUGUCUGGGGCUACACACGUGCUACAAUGGCCGGUACAAAGCGCUGCAAGCCCGCGAGGGGGAGCUAAUCGCACAAAGCCGGUCUCAGUUCGGAUUGUAGGCUGCAACUCGCCUGCAUGAAGUUGGAAUCGCUAGUAAUCGCAGAUCAGCAGGCUGCGGUGAAUACGUUCCCGGGCCUUGUACACACCGCCCGU